GCGAAAUAUAAACAAAGUAAAGAAAGGAGCACUCUCUCGGUUUUCCAAGAAGUCUUGAUAAAGAUCUAGGAGGGUUGAAAUGUUGAUGUAUAGAUUAUGAAAAUUUUGAAUACAUUGGAAAACCAAGAGAGUGCUCCUGUCUUUACUUUGUAUGUAUGUAUG